GGGGUCGAUUUGGUUUUGACAGCGGGUCUAAUUGAAUAGUAAGCACGUCGAGCGCUGGGACACAGCUCGUAAAUCUCAGGUUUCACACUUUUUUAAACGGCGAGUCUAACUACGCCUUGGCUGCGUAAUCCGAAUCAUAGUAGGAUAUGCUUAAUGCCGUACGAGGUACGGCACCAAGAUACCCCUGAAAAGCCCUGGUUUGCGGCGUUUCGUAAAGGGGUACCGAAAAAGUAGACCUAGUUUUGGCAGGAUCCUGAUGCCACUACGAAAUUUAAUUGGGAAUAAGGUAGCAGUUGGUAGUUGCCGACCGGCUGUUGCACGAAAAUCAAUUGGCAAAUAAACGUGUAGAAAGCUAUUGAGUUGCCCGUUUGGACGGCGGUUCGAACCCGCCCGACUCCACGA
rnacentral:tmRNA from 1 species